UGUUUGCCUUCAGGGGACAGAAGAGCCUCUGGAAAUGCUGAAGCUAGCUCAAUGAAUGUUGCCUCUGACGCAGUCCGGCUCUCUGCCUGGUAAUCACUUGUCUCCCACCAGGAAUUCUUGCUGUAGUUGGUCAUUCAGGAUCCAUGAAUAAAUCAUCUGUCAAGCUUAUCUUCUCUGCACAAUAGUCUGCGGUAGAGCUACUGUCGACGGCAUGUACGUUAAGGAUUGAAGAAACAACUGGAGAACUAUAUCACCUUCAAACAGCUGUCAAGAAAUCCAAAGAGGGGAAAUUUGGAGGCUCGUCUGGACAAUGUCCAGGGCAGCCCUACAUCUAUUGUCCCAGCUCAGGUUUCAGAUUCCCACACCUGCACAACUGUGGCUAGAAAAAAAAAAUAAAUAUAUCAAAUUUUGUUUUGCUCAGCUUCUGCACAAAAAUAAUAAAAGCCUGGGCAAUCACAGGCAGCCUGUCCAACAUGCCACCAAGAUAAUUCAGAGAGGCUGCUUGUAGCUGUCAAAAUGCGGAUCAUGAAAGCUGGCUUGACAGCUGUAUCUCAAAAUCUGCAAAGAAAUAAAUAGAGGUUGAAGAAAAACAAAGCUAUGGUGAGCCUGAAACAGCCUGUGGAGGGGAGUGGGGGGAAUAUCUCAUCCCUCCUGCACUGUUCCCUGCGAUAGCAGCGGAAGACUGAUGUGGAAGGACGGGCCAGGGGCCAGCCCCAUAUUUCACACAGAAUGCACCCACAGCGCUUAUUGUUGGAGCGGGUGAGCACGCAAAUGUAUCCAGCAUUGCCUUUUUGACAGCACUUUAAAGCGAUGGCACAGGCUCAGCUGCCCUUGCUUUAUCUUUUCUAAUGCCCUUGUUAUCCGAAUUGAUUUUCUGUCUACUUCGUUUCUUUAGCGAAGCAGCCUAGGCUAGGAGCAAAAAGCAGGGAGCCGAGAGCUAUUAAACAAUUUAGCUUUGUACACAUUCAGUGUGGAUUUCGUAUCUGCUUCAUUCUCUGUCAUUGAAAGGAGUAUCUGGAUCAGUUUGGCCCAUGAGGAGGAGGGGGAGAAAACAGGGGCAUUGCAUCAUCACCAGUUUGGGAGUGAGCAAGUCAAAAGUGUAGAUCACAUUUUUGGGGUGGUGUUGGGGUGAUUCUGAUUAGCUGCAUCCUGAUUGCCUUAUCAGAAUAAGUAUUUCACAAGUAUUCUUAAUAAGGCGCAAAGAAGUAUGAAAUAAGAAAAAAGACAAAGAAAACUCUCUUCCCAAGGGUUCUUUGAGGUUCUGCUUUUUAAAGAGGCAUAAGAGGAACCAGUGAGUCCUUGGUCAAAGAUCAAGCUAGAAUCUGACCUUGAAGCAGACAUGAAGAAAUGGAAGAGACAAUCAUGUGCACUUCAUGAGAAGACAAGACUCACUGGAGGAGACAAUCAUGCUAGGAAAAGUCAAAGGCAGAGGAAGAAAAGGAAGAUCAGCGAAGAGAUGGACUGAUUCUGUAAAAGAAGCCACAGCCUUGAAAUGACAAGAGCUGAGCAGGGUUAUCAAGGACAGGGAAUUUGGAAGCCAUUCAUUCAUAGCAUUGCCAUGAGUCAGAGAUGGCUUAAUGGCAGAUAACAACCACAAUGUUCUUUGGUUCACUGUAAUAACAAUCACAGUAAAACAAUCAUAAUAAUUA